UAGGGAAUCUUCGGCAAUGGACGGAAGUCUGACCGAGCAACGCCGCGUGAGUGAAGAAGGUUUUCGGUUCGUAAAGCUCUGUUGUUAGAGAAGAACGUUGGUAGGAGUGGAAAAUCUACCAAGUGACGGUAACUAACCAGAAAGGGACGGCUAACUACGUGCCAGCAGCCGCGGUAAUACGUAGGUCCCGAGCGUUGUCCGGAUUUAUUGGGCGUAAAGUGAGCGCAGGCGGUUCUUUAAGUCUGAAGUUAAAGGCAGUGGCUUAACCAUUGUACGGUUUGGAAACUGGAGGGCUUGAGUGCAGAAGGGGGGAGUGGAAUUCCAUGUGGAGCGGUGAAAUGCGUAGAUAUAUGGAGGAACACCGGUGGCGAAAGCGGCUCUCUGGUCUGUAACUGACGCUGAGGCUCGAAAGCGUGGGGAGCAAACAGG
rnacentral:rRNA from 1 species